AAUUGGUGGUGUGGACAGCUUGCCAUCAAUCUCUUGUAUCGCUCCCAACAUUCAUACAAAGAUUCUCCUGCAUGUUGCUUUAUCCCACAAAUUUCUUUGCGAAUCU